rnacentral:rRNA from 1 species
GGAGGAAAAGAAACUAACAAGGAUUCCCCUAGUAACUGCGAGUGAAGCGGGAAAAGCUCAAAUUUAAAAUCUGGUAGUCUUUGGCUGCCCGAGUUGUAAUCUAGAGAAGCAUUAUCCGCGCUGGACCGUGUACAAGUGUCCUGGAAUGGACUAUCAUAGAGGGUGAGAAUCCCGUCUUUGACACGGACUCCCAGGGCUUUGUGAUGUGCUCUCAAAGAGUCGAGUUGUUUGGGAAUGCAGCUCUAAAUGGGUGGUAAAUUCCAUCUAAAGCUAAAUAUUGGCGAGAGACCGAUAGCGAACAAGUACCGUGAGGGAAAGAUGAAAAGAACUUUGGAAAGAGAGUUAAACAGUACGUGAAAUUGCUGAAAGGGAAACGCUUGAAGUCAGUCGCGUCGGCUGGGGAUCAACCUUGCUUCUUGCUUGGCUUACUUCCCAGUUGACGGGUCAGCAUCAGUUUUGACCAGUGGAUAAAGGUYAAGGGAAUGUGGCACCUCCGGGUGUGUUAUAGCCCUUGGUCAUAUACAUUGGUUGGGACUGA